UGUGGAAGUAAAUGAAGGUCACCAAAAUGAAAACAAAGAAAGGCUAUGUAUUCAGCACUUGCUGUAGCAAGGUAAUCGUCCACCACCACUUGUGUCUGGCAAAGACUCAAAGGCAGGCAGAGGAGUGGGAAAGCUUUAUAAUAAAAAGAGAGAGAAAGAUGAAUUCAGAAGUGUAAAUGAUUUUCUGCAUUCGAAAGGCUUUCUGAAGUAAAAAGAGUUAUAGGCGAAUUUAAAUUAUGAAAACCUGCCACCACCUAACUGCCCAAGAAAUCCAAGAAGCGCUUCAGUGAUCAUUUCUCCCAUUUUCAUAGCUAGCACUUAAAAUGACAGUACACACCAUAAUUUGAAAGUAUGUGCACAUAGAAAAAAGGUGCCCAGGUCCUGAUAUCCAAGGGCUGAAGGAAUAGAGAGGAAAGAGCGUGAGGGUUUAGUGAAUAACUAGGCAUGCAGAAUAAAAGACAUAGCCCAAUGGAUU
rnacentral:lncRNA from 1 species